UUGAAGUCGAGAAUGAAGGAAAAAUUAAAAAUAAACUGUCUUAAAAGUUUUUUUUGGAAAUUAUUAAUAUGGUGAAAAUCCCAUAAUAAAAUUUUAAUAGACGAGAAGACCCUAUGAAUUAUUUNUUNAAAAUUUUAUUUAAAAAUUUUAAAUUUAAAUUUUUGUUGGGGCAAUAGAAAUUUUAAUUAAAAAGAAGUUUUAUAAUAAAAAUAUACAUUUGAAGUUUUUACUAUAAAUGAAUUUAAUU
rnacentral:rRNA from 1 species